GAAAUGAAACACUAAAGAAAUAAACAAAUAAAAAAUUACGAUACAAAUGUAUACGUACUGCCGGACUGCGCUAUAAACGGAAAGUUUCACUUUCGUUCGAUUUGGAAUGCGUCUGCGUUCACCUUAUCGCCCAUAUAUUCAUGUAUUCCACUAAACAUAGCGCUCGAAAUACAACAGCAAAAAUGUGUUCCUUCAUUGGAAGAACAAUACAGCACAGGAAUUAAUUAGUCAAAAAGUG